rnacentral:tRNA from 1 species
GGAGGGCUUGCAUAGCGGCCUAAUGCACCGGUCUUGAAAACCGGAGUGACGCGAGUCACCGUGGGUUCGAAUCCCACGCCCUCCG